rnacentral:rRNA from 1 species
CCUACGGGUGGCAGCAGUAGGGAAUAUUGCUCAAUGGGGGAAACCCUGAAGCAGCAAAGCCGCGUGGAGGAUGAAGGUUUUCGGAUUGUAAAAUCCUUUUGUUAGAGGAGAUAAUGACGGUAUCUAACGAAUAAGCACCGGCUAACUCCGUGCCAGCAGCCGCGGUAAUACGGAGGGUGCAAGCGUUACUCGGAAUCACUGGGCGUAAAGAGCGCGUAGGCGGGAUAGCAAGUCAGAUGUGAAAUCCUAUGGCUUAACCAUAGAACUGCAUUGCAAACUGUUAUUCUAGAGUAUGGGAGAGGUAGGUGGAAUUCUUGGUGUAGGGGUAAAAUCCGUAGAGAUCAAGAGGAAUACUGAUUGCGAAGGCGACUUGCUAGAGCAGAACUGACGCUGAUGCGCGAAAGCGUGGGGAGCGAACAGGAUUAGAUACCCGUGUAGUC